GGGAGGCAGCAGUGGGAAAUAUUGGACAAUGGGCGCAAGCCUGAUCCAGCCCUGCCGCGUGAGUGAUGAACGCCUUAGGGUUGUAAAGCUCUUUCCCCGGAAAAAAUAAUGACGGUAUCCGGAGAAAAAGCCCCGGCUAACUUCGUGCCAGCAGCCGCGGUAAUACGAAGGGGGCUAGCGUUGUUCGGAAUUACUGGGCGUAAAGC
rnacentral:rRNA from 1 species